CUUGCUUUUCGGAUCAGUGGCGAACGGGUGAGUAACACGUGAGUAACCUGCCCUUGACUCUGGGAUAACUGCUAGAAAUGGUAGCUAAUACCGGAUACGACCCUCGGCCGCAUGGUCAGGGGGUGGAAAGAAUUUUGGUCAAGGAUGGACUCGCGGCCUAUCAGGUAGUUGGUGAGGUAAUGGCUCACCAAGCCUACGACGGGUAGCCGGCCUGAGAGGGUGACCGGCCACACUGGGACUGAGACACGGCCCAGACUCCUACGGGAGGCAGCAGUGGGGAAUAUUGCACAAUGGGCGAAAGCCUGAUGCAGCAACGCCGCGUGAGGGACGACGGCCUUCGGGUUGUAAACCUCUUUUAGUAGGGAAGAAGCGAAAGUGACGGUACCUGCAGAAAAAGCACCGGCUAACUACGUGCCAGCAGCCGCGGUAAUACGUAGGGUGCAAGCGUUGUCCGGAAUUAUUGGGCGUAAAGAGCUCGUAGGCGGUUUGUCGCGUCUGCUGUGAGAUCCGGAGGCUCAACCUCCGGCCUGCAGUGGGUACGGGCAGACUAGAGUGCGGUAGGGGAGAUUGGAAUUCCUGGUGUAGCGGUGGAAUGCGCAGAUAUCAGGAGGAACACCAAUGGCGAAGGCAGAUCUCUGGGCCGUAACUGACGCUGAGGAGCGAAAGCAUGGGGAGCGAACAGGAUUAGAUACCCUGGUAGUCCAUGCCGUAAACGUUGGGAACUAGAUGUGGGGGCCAUUCCAC
rnacentral:rRNA from 1 species